AUCCCCAACGUCCACCGCGAGCUCCCCAGAUCCAUGGUCUGGAGCAGGUCCAGAAGACGCACCUGGCAGGACGCCCCGGGCGCCACAGUCGCCCUCCACACGGGCCACCCCAAUCCUGCCGCGGCUCCGUGGCUCUCCUUACCUUUACCUGAGGUGAAGCAAGGACGUGGAAGCAGCUACGGCGCGCUACCAAGCACCUCACACCGCUCUCAACAGUACUGCUCAGCCUCCCGGCCCGCCGAUGCGCAGGCGACAGCAGCCAACUUGAUGCUCUUCACUUCUUACAAAUUGGCAUGCCAGGCUGCUGCUCAGGUAAUCUGCCUCUUGGACCGGCUCUGAAAAUGGGACAAUGAUCAGUGCAAGAUCCCUGAGAUGCUGAGACACGAUGGGAUGGAAGAAAGCUAUGGGACAAGUGGCCUUUCAUAGGAGGAGGAGCUCCUUGUCAAAUGUGAGGAGCGAAGCAGGACAGGAGCAUGAGAACAGGAAGCCAGAAGUUAUGGGGACACUCAAGCAGCACUAGGGAGAGGCUCAUGAGUAGAAGAACUGAGGCAUCCUGCAAACAGCCAUGGACUAACCUGUAUUGGGAGCAGAUUCUCCAGCUCCACGUCUGUUCCUUAGUCUCUGUUGAGGUGAAACUCCAAUAUCUGAACCCACCAGCCAAAUAAGCAACCUGUGUACAAGCCAAGUUAAAAUUUCACUCCCGUAAUGGAUGAGGAGAAACCAGAAGACAUUUCUCAUGCACAGGGAGUGCAUGAAUCCCCUGAAUUGCCAGGUUUCAGGGUCACAUGAGACCUCUAGAAGGCUCUGCUCAUCAUCACCUUAUCAUCUGCUGAUAUACCUAUUCUAACGAAGGAGGGAGAGGAGUAAUGCACAAGAAACUCAGGCCAAUGGGGGAGCAAGAAGAAAACGAAGAAGUGCAGUGCAUGCGUCAUCGGUGUUUAACAGUCAGAAGCGAAACAGUUCAGAACAAGGCCUGCCCUGUCAAAAGAAGAGCUAAAGACAGUUAUAUAAAAAUUAAGAAUAACUCAAUCUCAGUGUGACUACUGAUCCGCCGCCACGUGGCUUCCCGGACACACUGCUGCAGCGCCAACAGUGGAGAGGAGCUCUCCAUCACAACCAGACAGCAGAAGCACAGCACAGUGAAGCACACCUGCCCACAUGAUGCACAAUACAGGUAUUCAUUUACAACAGAUAGAUUUUAUGCCCUGUACAGGUAUGAACACAGUGAAGAUUUGACGAUGGUCUCUCUUUCAGCUGAACUCUGGAGUUUUAAUUACUGACAUUUUCUUGGAAGAAAUUAUCCUUUGUGGUUUUAAAACAUGUGGGCUUUUUUUUUUGUUGCUCAAGUCACAUGUUCUAACAAGACAGUUUUAAUAAGCCAGUUUGACUAGAUGUAAAGUACUUGGAUUAAAGUGAUAAUCUUACUUUGUGGCCUAUAAAUUAACACAUCUGAAUUUCUUUUUAAGAAUUCAGAAACCAGUAACUUCCAAACAACUUGAAAUUGAAUAAAUAUUUUCAGCAACCCAGGGGUGAACUAAAUGCAACAGAUUAUUCAACUUUAAAAAGUCUUACUUACUGUACAGAUUUUCCAUAUUAAACAUCUGGUAUGCCUCAAUUUUUUACUUAAAAGUCUCGGACUUUGAGAGCAUACAGCAUUUUUUGCACAUAUAUAACCAUGAUGUACUUUAAUAUUCCAAUCUUAGGUUGUGAUUUUAGAGGUUGUUUUGGUAUCAUUAAAUACCAAUGGGACCAAACCAGAAAAUUAAAUAAAAAUAUAAUUCACCACUCACACACCCUUAAGGGUCUAGAUUCAAUUUCCAAAAGCAUAAUAUUGGGUAGUUACUUGCAGUUGUGAAAAUAAUUUCAAUCUUGGAAUCUUGGUACACAGUCCCAAAAUUUAAAAAAAAAAAAAAAAAAAGGAAAUCCACUGUAAUCCCAGUGUCUUUAAAAUAAUGCUGCCAGCCCGACCCCACCUCACCCCACAGUCAACCAGUUACCAUGGUUCAGGAUAGGACAAACUUAGGUUUUGGACAAAUGAAGAGUUCAAUGGCUGUUAAUUGUCACAGGCAAGAAAAGAAGGAAAACCAAAAGUUGAUAAAUGUUAACUCAACAAUUAUAGUCUUUACACAGCUUGCCUUAAAACUGCUCCAGUUCAGACUUACUCUGUUCAAAAGUGAAUAUACAGAACGUUAGUGUAUCUCUCUAUUUAAAUCUCAGUCUCAGUACUAAUCUUCUACCUCCAUGAAACAUACACAACAAAACAAAAGGAAGAGCUAGGGAUUUGGGAAGAGGCACUUCCAGAAAAAAAGAAAGUGACGAUUAUUUCAGAUUUGAAUUUACCAUUUUUACCAUUUUUUCUGUUUCAAGGUCCCAGAUAAUAUACAUUUCUUCAUUAAUUAUUCAUUUUCUGAGUGCCUACUAUGGCUGGAGUACUCUAUUCGAUUUCAAGCUUAGAGAGAGAUUGAAACAGAAACAGUAACAGUCCCUGCCCAUCUCACCCUUCAUUAACUUGCUGUGUGGAAGACAAGCAUACAGACUGGACCCUCAUGAGGCAAUGGUAGUAGGGCCCACAGGGAGGUGUGCUACUGAAGCACCCUGAGGGCCUGGAGCCCACCAUGCCCGUGGAGAGAGGUGCUCCUGAGGAGACAGAGUUCUGUGCGUUCUCCCUAUGGAGUCCUGCAUUUACUAGAUUUCAAUCCUCUUCCCCUGACUGAUUUCAAUCCACACACCCUCCCACUAUUUUUUUUUUUUUUAAAUAAUAAUAGGCUUUCUGCCCCAACUAAAGGAAUUUUAGGCUUCUGCAACAAGUGGAGGAGGCAUUUUGAAGAUGGGACACAAAGAAGUCUUCUUUCUCCAGAUCCAGAAGUCAGGCCUUGUAAGAAUUCAAGCCAAAAAAAGUUCAUCCAUGGGAAAAACGGUUCUUCUAUCAUCCAGCACGUAUUUGUGCCAACAGAGCUGAGGGACUUGAGUAAUUCAAGAGGCUAGGGGUUGGGGGGCAGAUGUGUCCAGUGGCUCCCACAGCCCCGCCGUCCUGAAAGUCACGCCAGUUAAUGUGCCUCGGGGUGGAUCAGCCCUCCCGACAGAUGACUACUAGGAAAUUAAUCCCCAGUUAAUAAUGUGCUUUGGACCAAGUAAGUCAAGAUUAUUUUUCCUACAAUUAUACAAAGAUAUGCUUUUCCAGAAGGGAACUUCUGGAAAAAGAACAAAUAACACUAUGCUUAAAAUAUUAUUCACAUAUUUAGAGAAGAAAGAACUUAAAAUAGCAGAAGACCUGAAUACCAUGAUCCACGGUGCCCACCCCUGGGAGCAUGUCUUUGUGUGAGACAAGACCUAGCACAGCAGGGCUGGCUUUCUAAGGGUACGGUGAGGCACCACUGAACUCAUCAAGGAACUAUGCCUAGUCUUGCCCCUCUGGUUUAUGUCACCAGUAUCAAAGAGAGAGGACCUCUGGAUGCCUGAAUGAGGCAAGAACUAAUGUGAAGGCCUCAGCUGCCUUAAGAGAAUUAUGCCCUGAUCUGGCACAGUGACGAAUGUCUGUGGUUAUACUGCUCGUGCCGCUGGUGUGCUGCUGGUGAGGUGGUGGGGUGUGGGUGUCUUUUAAGGAAAGCGCUACUAUUUUAGCUCUCUUCCACUCCAGCUCUACAAAUCAGUGCAAGUCUAGUUCAGGCAGGGUCAAACCAUUUUGUUCACCUACUUUCCUGCCAGUGAUUUCAACCUUGACCUUCAAAAAUGCUCUGCAAGAUUAAAAGUGAUUUAAGAUUGUUUUCUUUCAGUGCAAACUGCCAGUUGAUACAACCUCUUCAGUUUCUGCCUGCCAGUAUAAGAUAGGGAAUUGUUGAUACUAUUUAGUGUAAAUAAAAUAAUUUCUUAAACAUUGAAAUACCAGUAACAGCUGGGGGAGGACUCACCGUUAGUCAAUUACACUUAUGAAACUUUCAAAUAGAAAUUUUAUUUUCAGUGGAUUCUGUUUUUCUUUCUUAACUGCAAAAUCAGCAAGUCAUUGGUUAAAAAGUAUACUCUCCCCGCUUGAAGUCAAACAAGUAUUCACCCUAAGAGGCAAAGUCCAGUAUCUACAGUAAAAACUGACCUGACCUUUGGUAUUCCGCAAGGGCCUGAACUUCCAUUCCAUUCCCAGUGCUGGAUGUGGAGAAUGGGUGAUCCCAAGCAACAAUCAUUUGCCUUUCUGUCAAAAGCUGUCUCGGUUUAAAUGUACUGUAUUUUCUUUGCCUCUUCUUCUCAUCGGAACAUGUUCUAGUCUACUCGCCAGGUGCUACUUCUGGCAGUCAGAAAUAGUGCCACUUUUCAACUUCAAGUUUCUUACCAACCUUUUUUGCAUUCAUGCAGCAAGAGUUCAUGAAAUAGCUGCAAAGUGCUGGACACUGUUAGGUUGUGGGAAUUGCAAGAGAAACAGAGUUUCUGCCUUCUAGAUGCUCACGUCUGGGGGUGGGGCAGGUACAGCAGGGGUGAUCAAUCCACAAAAAUUUACUUUUAAAAAUGUGUUAUGGGCUGACUUGUAUCACCUCAAAAUUCAUAUGGGGAAGUCCUAACCACCAAUACCUCAGAAUGUGAUUGUAUUUGGAAACAGGAUCUUUGCAGAGGCAAUUAAGUUAAAAUAAGGACAUCAUCAGGGUGGGCCCUAAUCUCAAGUGACCCAUGUCCUUCUAAGAAGAGAUUAGGACACAGAUACACAGAGGAAAGACCAUAUGAAGACACAGGGAGAAGACAGCCAUCUACAAGCCCAGAAGGGAGGCCUCAGAAGAAACCAACCCUGCCAACAUCUUGAUCUCAGACUUCCAGCGUCCAGAUUGUUAGAAAAUAAAUUUCUGUUGUGUAAGCUGCCCAGUCUGUGGCACUUUGUUAUGGCAGCCCUCGCAAACUAAACACAGUGUGCUUUUUAAGGGCAACAACAAAAAAGAAAUAUAUAGGUUAAGUCAAAUGUAAUAGCUGCUGGAACAUCUAUCAACAGACUAAACAACAAACAAAACCAACAUUUAGCAUAAUAUCCAGUAGUGCUGUCAACAAAGGAAAUGGGGGUGGCAGUGAGCACAUCUGGGAGGGCAUUUGAUGGCUGUCAGAAUCAGCCAAGGAAGAUGAUAGAAGGGUGAGGGAUAAGUGCAGAAUAAGCUCCAUGCAGGCAAGUGGCCCUGUAGCCAGGUCUCCCUGCAGCUCCUAGGGGCCACAGCAGUAACAAGACCCACAUGAACCCAUGAGUUUCUGUGCCCUCAGUUUUCUAACUAGUUCAGAAUAUUAGGAACUGACAAUGACCCUAUCACUGAAGCUUUUGAGUGCUGAUAAUAUGAGGGUCAGAAAACUGGUAAGCUGAUCCAUCUAUCUAGAGUCCAUCUGUGCUUGCUGAACUGUAAAGCUGCCCAUUCUUCUUGGUGCUCAUCAACUGACACUCCAAACAUGGACACGUGGCUGAUACUGCAUUCCAUUCAUUCAUUGUCUGAAUUCAAGUUUGUGUUUUUCAUGAAGGCCAAUUAAAUUAACUUUCUUUUUGACACUUCA
rnacentral:lncRNA from 1 species